GACGGAAUAGUUCAGCCGGGUAGAACCGCGGAAUCAUACUCCGCAGGUCGUGGGUUCGAGUCCCGCUUCCGUCC
rnacentral:tRNA from 1 species